rnacentral:hammerhead_ribozyme from 1 species
GCACUGUUGAGGAGUUCCAUAAUAGAACGAAACGGCCGUCCAAUGC